AGUGAACGCUGGCGGUAGGCCUAACACAUGCAAGUCGAACGGCAGCACAGUAAGAGCUUGCUCUUACGGGUGGCGAGUGGCGGACGGGUGAGGAAUACAUCGGAAUCUACUUUUUCGUGGGGGAUAACGUAGGGAAACUUACGCUAAUACCGCAUACGACCUACGGGUGGAAGCAGGGGAUCUUCGGACCUUGCGCGAUUGAAUGAGCCGAUGUCGGAUUAGCUAGUUGGCGGGGUAAAGGCCCACCAAGGCGACGAUCCGUAGCUGGUCUGAGAGGAUGAUCAGCCACACUGGAACUGAGACACGGUCCAGACUCCUACGGGAGGCAGCAGUGGGGAAUAUUGGACAAUGGGCGCAAGCCUGAUCCAGCCAUACCGCGUGGGUGAAGAAGGCCUUCGGGUUGUAAAGCCCUUUUGUUGGGAAAGAAAAGCAGCAGGUUAAUACCCCGCUGUUCUGGCGGUACCCAAAGAAUAAGCACCGGCUAACUUCGUG
rnacentral:rRNA from 1 species